rnacentral:rRNA from 1 species
UAUGUUCUUCGUGACAUGGCGUACUGCUCAGUAACACGUGGAUAACCUGCCCUUGGGUCCGGCAUAACCCCGGGAAACUGGGGAUAAUUCCGGAUAACGCAUAUAUGCUGGAAUGCUUUAUGCGUCAAAUGGAUUCGUCUGCCCAAGGAUGGGUCUGCGGCCUAUCAGGUAGUAGUGGGUGUAAUGUACCUACUAGCCGACGACGGGUACGGGUUGUGAGAGCAAGAGCCCGGAGAUGGAUUCUGAGACAUGAAUCCAGGCCCUACGGGGCGCAGCAGGCGCGAAAACUUUACAAUGCGGGAAACCGUGAUAAGGGGACACCGAGUGCCAGCAUCAUAUGCUGGCUGUCCGGGUGUGUAAAAUACACCCGUUAGCAAGGGCCGGGCAAGACCGGUGCCAGCCGCCGCGGUAACACCGGCGGCCCGAGUGGUGAUCGUGAUUAUUGGGUCUAAAGGGUCCGUAGCCGGUUUGGUCAGUCCUCCGGGAAAUCUGACGGCUUAACCGUUAGGCUUUCGGAGGAUACUGCCAGGCUUGGAACCGGGAGAGGUAAGAGGUACUACAGGGGUAGGAGUGAAAUCUUGUAAUCCCUGUGGGACCACCUGUGGCGAA